rnacentral:rRNA from 1 species
UAGUCCUAGCCGUAAACGGUGCACGUUUGCUGUGAGUGGAAUCGACCCCACUCGUGGCGAAGCUAACGCGAUAAACGUGCCGCCUGGGAAGUACGGUCGCAAGAUUAAAACUCAAAGAAAUUGACGGGGGCCUGCACAAGCGGUGGAGUAUGUGGCUUAAUUCGAUGCAACGCGAAGAACCUUACCUGGCCUUGACAUGCACGUGGUAGGAGCCUGAAAGGGUAACGACCCCGCAAGGGGGAGCGUGCACAGGUGCUGCAUGGCUGUCGUCAGCUCGUGUCGUGAGAUGUUGGGUUAAG